rfam:Beta vulgaris subsp. vulgaris chromosome 7, whole genome shotgun sequence.
ACACCAUGAUGAGGACAUUUACGUUGUAAAUCUUUAAACCUUUCCCAUGCUUCAUAUAAAGACUCCCCAUCAUAUUGAGCAAAACUAGUUAUAUUAUUUCGAAACUU